rnacentral:rRNA from 1 species
GUCUAUAGCCAUGCCACUCUGAACAAACGAUGUCUGAUCUCAAAUGCUAAGCGGAGUUGGGACUCGUUAGUAUUUGGAUGGGAGAGCACCUAGGAAGACCAGGUUCUGUAGGCA